GCUCCUAUUCCAGAUUCUCAGAGUAUAGAUUCUGACUGGAUUACCCUGGUCCUUGAAGUAUACCUAGGAGAUGGAAUAACAUUGUAUAGGCAUCCAUGUUGUCAUUAAGAGGAAAGAGUUUCCAUUAAAACAGCACCGCAAUAUGGAGGAUGUAUCCUCAAUACAUGGAUAUUGCCCCCUCAAAAUUCAUAACCCCUAGAUAUCUUAUCUCUCUAUGUGAGGAUAGUGUAUUAACUUGCACCUGGACUGAGAUAGAUAAAUGCUUAUCUCCAGAGAUGUCUGAAAGUCUGGUACUGACCCUUGUCUAAGAUAAGGAUGGAAUGUGCUGGUUAAUGAUUUAUACUGUGCUAUACAAAGUCCAAAAUUCCCUUGGUGGUAUCCUCUGCUGGCUUGUCUACAUUGUUUAAGGAUGGAUAGAUUGAUGGUUUGCACCUGCUUUAAUCAUUUACACAUUCUGAUUUUAUUUGUGAUCAGUGGAGGAUAAAACCUUCAAUAAACUUGUGUCUUAGCUUCCUUGAUAUUAAGAUAUCUUGCACAUAUCUUAGAUUUUUAUCAUCCGAAUGCAAAGCACAUCCUUUGCAAUUGAGAAGGGACUCUGCGAGCUGCUCCCGGAUAUGUUAAACCCCUCAGUGACUGACUGUAUAUUCUUUCUUCUGCUGUACUUGCCCUUAUUAAAGCCUUACAUGUGAAGUAAGUCCUUUCAAUUGUCUGACCCCGGGUGAUUGUUAUACCCUU
rnacentral:lncRNA from 1 species